rnacentral:rRNA from 1 species
UACGAAGGGGGCUAGCGUUGCUCGGAAUUACUGGGCGUAAAGGGCGCGUAGGCGGCACUGUUAGUCAGGCGUGAAAGUCCUGGGCUCAACCUGGGAACUGCGCUUGAUACGGCAGAGCUAGAGGAUGGAAGAGACUCGCGGAAUUCCCAGUGUAGAGGUGAAAUUCGUAGAUAUUGGGAAGAACACCGGUGGCGAAGGCGGCGAGCUGGUCCAUUACUGACGCUGAGGCGCGACAGCGUGGGGAGCAAACAGG